rnacentral:RNase_P_RNA from 1 species
CGAGUCGGUCGGGCGGCCGCGUCGACGCCGGAUCCCCGGCGUCGCCGAGGAAAGUCCGGGCUCCACAGGGCAGGGUGGUUGCCAACAGCAACCCGGCGCGAGCCGCGGGACAGUGCCACAGAGAACAGACCGCCGGUGUGUGCUGCACGCCGGUGAGGGUGAAACGGUGGUGUAAGAGACCACCAGCGUCCCGGGUGACCGGGGCGGCUCGGUAAACCCCACCCGGAGCAAGGUCGAGAAACGGGGCGGAUCGUGAGAUCCGCGCCGUGCGCAGGCGUUCGAGGGCGGCCCGCCCGAGCCUGCGGGUGGACCGCUGGAGCGUGUCGGCGACGGCACGCCGAGAUGGAUGGUCGCCGACCGGGAUCGCCGCGAGGCGCCCGGGAACAGAACCCGGCUUACGACCGACUCGUCCC